rnacentral:rRNA from 1 species
CGCGAAAGUCCCGCAAGGGAUCAGUAGAGUGGCAAACGGGUGCUGUAACGCGUGGGUGACCUGCCUUCGAGCGGGGGAUACCGUUCCGAAAGGGACGCUAAUACCGCAUGACAUCCUGCCUUUGAACAGGCGGAGAUCAAAGCCGGGGAUCGCAAGACCUGGCACUCGAAGAGGGGCCCGCGUCCGAUUAGCUAGUUGGUGAGGUAACGGCUCACCAAGGCAACGAUCGGUAGCCGGCCUGAGAGGGCGGACGGCCACACUGGGACUGAGACACGGCCCAGACUCCUACGGGAGGCAGCAGUGGGGAAUUGUUCGCAAUGGGCGCAAGCCUGACGACGCAACGCCGCGUGGAGGAUGAAGAUCUUCGGGUCGUAAACUCCUUUCGAUCGAGACGAACGGCCUCCGGGUUAAUACGCCGGAGGAGUGACGGUACCGAGAGAAGAAGCCCCGGCUAACUCCGUGCCAGCAGCCGCGGUAAUACGGGGGGGGCAAGCGUUGUUCGGAAUUACUGGGCGUAAAGGGCUCGUAGGCGGCCAACUAAGUCAGACGUGAAAUCCCUCGGCUUAACCGGGGAACUGCGUCUGAUACUGGAUGGCUUGAGUUUGGGAGAGGGAUGCGGAAUUCCAGGUGUAGCGGUGAAAUGCGUAGAUAUCUGGAGGAACACCGGUGGCGAAGGCGGCAUCCUGGACCAACACUGACGCUGAGUGAGCGAAAGCCAGGGGAGCAAACGGGAUUAGAUACCCCGGUAGUCCUGGCCCUAAACGAUGAAUGCUUGGUGUGGCGGGUAUCGAUCCCUGCCGUGCCGAAGCUAACGCAUUAAGC